rnacentral:tRNA from 1 species
AGGGACUUAGGAUAAUAAGACCAAGGACCUUCAAAGCCCUAAGAAAGGGUGAAAACCCCUUAGCCCCUG